rnacentral:rRNA from 1 species
AACGAACGCUGGCGGCAGGCCUAACACAUGCAAGUCGAGCGAGAUCUUCGGGUCUAGCGGCGGACGGGUGAGUAACGCGUGGGAAUAUGCCUCUUGGUACGGAAUAGCCUCGGGAAACUGGGAGUAAUACCGUAUGUGCCCUUUGGGGGAAAGAUUUAUCGCCAAGAGAUUAGCCCGCGUUUGAUUAGGUAGUUGGUGGGGUAAUGGCCUACCAAGCCGACGAUCCAUAGCUGGUUUGAGAGGAUGAUCAGCCACACUGGGACUGAGACACGGCCCAGACUCCUACGGGAGGCAGCAGUGGGGAAUCUUAGACAAUGGGGGCAACCCUGAUCUAGCCAUGCCGCGUGAGUGAUGAAGGCCUUAGGGUUGUAAAGCUCUUUCAGCUGGGAAGAUAAUGACGGUACCAGCAGAAGAAGCCCCGGCUAACUCCGUG